AUUGAACGCUGGCGGAAUGCUUUACACAUGCAAGCCGAGCGGCAGCGCGGGGCAACCUGGCGGCGAGCGGCGAACGGGCGAGUAACACAUCAGAACAUACCCAGCCGUGGGGGAUAACACUUCAAAAGAAGUGCUAAUACCGCAUACCUCCUGAGGGAGAAAGCGGGGGAUCUUCGGACCUCGCGCGAUUGGAGUGGCCGAUGACACAUUAUCUAAUUGGUGGGGUAAAGGCCUACCAAGGCGACGAUCUGUAGCUGGUCUGAUAGGACGACCAGCCACACUGGGACUGAGACACGGACCAGACUCCUACAGGAGGCAGCAGUGGGGAAUUUUGGACAAUGGGGGCAACCCUGAUCCAGCCAUUCCGCGUGAGUGAAGAAGGCCUUCGGGUUGUAAAGCUCUUUCGGCAGGAACGAAACGGCGCGCUCUAACGUAGCGCGUUAAUGACGGUACCUGAAGAAGAAGCACCGGCUAACUACGUGCCAGCAGCCGCGGUAAUACGUAAGGUGCGAGCGUUAAUCGGAAUUACUGGGCGUAAAGCGUGCGCACGCGGUUGUGUAAGACAGGUGUGAAAUCCCCGGGCUUAACCUGUGAACUGCGCUUGUGACUGCACGGCUAGAGUAUGGCAGAGGGGGGUGGAAUUCCACGUGUAGCAGUGAAAUGCGUAGAGAUGUGGAGGAACACCGAUGGCGAAGGCAGCCCCCUGGGCCAAUACUGACGCUCAUGCACGAAAGCGUGGGGAGCAAACAGGAUUAGAUACCCUGGUAGUCCACGCCCUAAACGAUGUCGACUAGGUGUUCGGUGAGGAGACUCAUUGAGUACCGCAGCUAACGCGUGAAGUCCACCGCCUGGGGAGUACGGUCGCAAGAUUAAAACUCAAAGGAAUUGACGGGGACCCGCACAAGCGGUGGAUGAUGUGGAUUAAUUCGAUGCAACGCGAAAAACCUUACCUACCCUUGACAUGUACGGAACCCUGCUGAGAGGUGGGGGUGCUCGAAAGAGAGCCGUAACACAGGUGCUGCAUGGUGUGUCGUCAGCUCGUGUCGUGAGAUGUUGGGUUAAGUCCCGCAACGAGCGCAACCCUUGUCAUUAGUUGCUACGCAAGAGCACUCUAAUGAGACUGCCAGUGCCAACCCGGAGGAAGGUGGGGAUGACGUCAAGUCCUCAUGGCCCUUAUGGGUAGGGCUUCACACGUCAUCCAAUGGUCGGUCCAGAGGGUUGCCAAUCCGCGAGGUGGAGCCAUUCCCAGAAAGCCGAUUGUAGUCCGGAUCGCAGUCUGCAAUUGGAUUGCGUGAAGUCGGAAUCGUUAGUAAUCGCGGAUCACCAUGCCGCGGUGAAUACGUUCCCGGGUCU
rnacentral:rRNA from 1 species